rnacentral:rRNA from 1 species
GACGAACGCUGGCGGCGUGCUUAACACAUGCAAGUCGAACGAAGUGGCGAACGGGUGAGUAACGCGUAAUCAACUGCCUGGUAGCGGGGGAUAACUAUUGGAAACGAUAGCUAAUACCGCAUACUACCAGAUGGACCUGCGUUGUAUUAGCUAGUUGGUGGGGUAACGGCUCACCAAGGCAACGAUACAUAGCCGACCUGCGAGGGUGAUCGGCCACAAUGGGACUGAGACACGGCCCAGACCCCUACGGGAGGCAGCAGUAGGGAAUUUUCGGCAAUGGACGGAAGUCUGACCGAGCAACGCCGCGGGAGUGAAGAAGGGUUUCGGAGCGUAAAGCUCUGUUGUAAGAGAAUCGGUAUCUGACCAGAAAGGGACGGCUAACUACGUGCCAGCAGCCGCGGUAAUAC